UACGUAGGGUGCGAGCGUUGUCCGGAUUUAUUGGGCGUAAAGAGCUCGUAGGCGGUUUGUCGCGUCGGCCGUGAAAUCCCACGGCUUAACCGUGGAACUGCUUGGUAUACUGGCGGUCUUGAGUCAGCUAGGGGCUACCGGAACAAAUGGUGGAGCGGUGAAAUGCGUAGAUAUCAUUUGGAACGCCAAUGGUGAAAACAGGUAGCUGGGGCUGUACUGACACUGAGACACGAAAGCCAGGGAGCAAACGGG
rnacentral:rRNA from 1 species